UGGACCUGCAUAUAAAGCAAGAGCCCAGCACAGGGACUGCAGACCACGGCAAGAUCUCCAGGUGAAAAGACAGAAACUCCCUCCAACUAUGAAGACCGUGGCCAUCUUGCUCUGCGUGGUCGCUGGCGCCGCUGCGUUCCCGCAGGGCUAUUUCCCAGGUCUGUUUGGUCAGAACAGCCAGGCGACCGGAAGUGCCGCCGGCAAUGUGGUGUCUGGGGUCAGCGGCGGUCCCUUCCAGAACUCCCGGAUCACACAAGUCAGCGCCACCGCCUCGGGUGCGGCAAGAGGCAAUGCGAUCAGUAGAAAUGCUGCCAGCGCCUCUGACUUCGGCUCUUCGGGACUGUUCGGAAACAAGAGGUUCUCGAACACCAAUGCCGUCUCCAACCAGCAGACGUUUGGCGGAGGCUUUGGUGGUUUCCAGCGGCCUUUUGGCAACGGAUACCAGCAGUAUCCCAGCCAGA